GACGAACGCUGGCGGCGUGCUUAACACAUGCAAGUCUAACGAAGUGGCGAACGGGUGAGUAAGGCGUAAUCAACCUGCCCUUCGGAGGGGGACAACAGUUGGAAACGACUGCUAAUACCGCAUCCCUAAGGUGGGGUUUGCGUCUGUUUAGCUAGUUGGAGGGGUAACGGCCCACCAAGGCGAUGAUCAGUAGCCGGUCCGAGAGGAAGAACGGCCACAUUGGGGCUGGGGCAAGGCCCAGACUCCUGCGGGAGGGAGCAAUGGGGGAUCAUGCGCAAUGGGCGGUAGUCUGGCGGGGCGCCGCCGCGUGGGUGAAGACCGGCUUCGGGUUAUAAGGCUCUGUUCAUCGGGACGCGGUACCGGAAGAGGAAGCCACGGCUAACUACGUGCCAGCAGCCGCGGUAAUAC
rnacentral:rRNA from 1 species